rnacentral:rRNA from 1 species
UACGUAGGUGGCGAGCGUUGUCCGGAUUUACUGGGCGUAAAGCGCGCGCAGGCGGUUCUGUAAGUCCUGGGUGAAAUCGCCCGGCUCAACUGGGCGGGGGCCUGGGGGACUGCGGGACUGGAGGGGCCUAGAGGCCGGUGGAACUCCCGGUGUAGUGGUGAAAUGCGUAGAUAUCGGGAGGAACACCUGUGGCGAAAGCGGCGCACUGGACCAUAACUGACGCUGAUGCGCGAAAGCUAGGGGAGCAAACAGG